CUGCCGAUUACCAUGACUGUGACAUGGCUUUGAAAAGCACGUCUCAUCGCUGCCUGGUGACUCCUUUCAGAGGCUCCCCCAGGGCAGGUUGUUUUGCAACCAGACAAUGAAAUCCAAAUUUACUAGGUACUUUAUUUUGGAGGUUGAGAGGGAAACAAAAAUUCUUCAAUUAAUUGUUCAUCCUAAACCAUGGACAUGGAUGAAGCUGGAGACCAUCAUUCUCAGCAAACUAACACAAGAACAGAAAACCAAAGACCAUAUGUUCUCACUGACCAUUCUUGCUCAUGCGCUAGAUAGAGGGAUAGUGCCAACCCAUAUAGACUUAGAAGAGAUCAAGCUGGAGGGCCAGUCUUAACGUCCUUCACCUCCUCCUUUCCUGAGUGUGUCUCCCACUGGCUGUACUCAGUAGAAGCCAGAAAGCCAGGGGCCCACUGAUGUCAUCAAUUCAGGGAUUUCAAGACACAUUUGAUAUCUUACAGAGCUGAUAGCUGCCGUGCAUAGGGGAAAUAAAUGAGAGGAAUAUGUCUGCAUAGUGGGGGUGCAGCUAGCCUUGGGUAGUGAUUCAUUUAAUAUUCUUUUGGCUACAAGUAACAGAAUAUCCAAAUAAAAUUGGUGCUAUGAAAAAAAA
rnacentral:lncRNA from 1 species